UCGCAGUUCAAACAAGUCGUCGAGGAGAAUUGCGAUGUUCCAGCUGUGCAGCAGCGGCUGAUUUACAAGGGACGGAUCUUAAAGGAUGAUCAAACCCUAGAUAGUUAUGGCUUAAUUUGGUUCUGUAGCUGGGUAAGUCCAUGUGAGACCCGACCAUGGCUCAGGUGAGGGGUUCCAAUAACCCUAAGUGGUUUGUUAUAUUAUUAAUUCGAUUGAAUCUAGUAUUGAUCCCAAGUUUGUUGAAUUCGAGUUAUUUGAUUUAAUUUUAUUUGUCGUCGUUUUUUCUUUAUAUUUUGAUAUUCAUCCAUUUUAUAUUUUGUGUUGUUCUGAUAUUGCUAAUUUUGUGGAUGUAGGAACUUCUUGCCUAACAAGGCCAUAUCCAUGGUGCUAAUUUUAUGGAUGUAGGAACUUCUUGCCUAACAAGGCCAUAUCCAUGGUGGUGAUGGAUAGGUCCAGAAAGGGUGGAGAAGAAGAGCUAUUUUGGAUGUUUGAAAAAGAAUUUAAAAAUUUAUCUAUUAAGGCGUCUUCCGAGAAGACGCGAAUUUUGGUGGACAAGACAGUUGAGCUACAAACAAAGAUAGAAAGGAAUAAAGAAGACUUCAUUUUUAGUCUUUUUUGUAAUCGAUGUAUUUUUUUGUAGGGUACUCUUUUUCCCCCUUGAGUUUUUUCCCACAGGGUUUUGCUCUUGAGGGGUUUUAACGAGGCCCUUUUUUUGUGGGUUUUCUCUUCGGACUUGAAAGGCUAUGUUAUCUAAGCGUCCGGAGUAUUUACAUACUUUCGGUUAGAUGA